CUCGGCCAAUAACGAACUAAUUAAAAACCAAAGCAGAGCUCUCCCCUCGUCCAGGUGCUCAAAUUAAAUCCACCUUUCAAAUGGGUCACAUGAUCCCAUUCCAAUCGAGAAAAACAAUUCGCAACAAAUAAAUAAGACGUAUUAUUUGUUCUAGAAUUUCUCAAAAGAAGAAUCAUAGGUCAAGGUUUGGAGUAGAUAGUGGAAAUGACGUAGAUAUACUCUGUCUAAUUAGGAACUGAGUUUUCCAAAAAGAUAAGGUGGAAUUUUGGAGUUAUUGCGUUUGAUGUCGUUGUCCGAUGUCUUUGCGAAAUUGUUCUUGUGUAGGAUCACAGGUUAACUGAUUAUUUUUGACUGCACGACCUAAUUUACCUACGCCGUUUCAAGCUUUUUGCAAUAUCUGAGUAAUAGUGUUUCACCCAUAAACCAACUUUUACAUUUGCUUCAUUCAACUCUCAACCGUUUCAGGCUCGAGGCUUCAGAUUACUUGCAUCUUGAUAGUUCCAGAUGUGACAGUCAAAAUGACCGAGAAUGUUAUAAAACGAUCGUAUGGAAAAUUAUACCUAUACAAAAAAGAAGGAAUUAUGAGAACCCGUAUCGAUGAGAACUUGGUAUCACUUUCGCGCCACCUGGGCCAACCAAAAUCAUACGAUCGGUUCUGAGAAAUAGUUAUAUUCAUCGCUAAUAAAUUGACUGUUGGUUUAAUUGCAAAAAGGAAUUAUCAUAUUCUGGCGAUUAACUGGAUGUAGUGUAAUUCUCAAAUUAGUUGUGGACACUUUUCUCUCAUUGUGGAGAAUUUAACUGAAUUUUGGUGAAUGCGUAAGUACUGGUCACUUUCUUUAACCACCUGUUAAUUGUGCGUUUUACAUGGAGUUUGAAUCAAUUUCAUUUUAAACCGCUGCCGUACUAUUAUUUUCUUAAAUAAUUCUCUUAUUAAUCGGAGUUUCAAGUUAUAAUUUCAUUCCAUACAAAAUGCGAGUAAAAAGCAUUAUGCGGGUCACUCUGUAAUUGGUCGCCCGGUUGAGGGCCCAGAACAAGAGAGGAAUAAAUAAAUACAUAACUCGUUAAUUCCAAGUAAGAUCUCGCAACAAAUCAGCAGUAAUAUUGACUUACCCCGAGUCUUCGACUUCCUUAGAGCUCUACGGAAUUUCCUUACAUAAUCUGAAAGCGCACGCUAACCUUGGAAAUAGACUGAGAUGGUAGUACUCGAAUUCACAAUAAAAUGACGAUAAAACGAAAUAAAUCUCUGAAACCAAGAUAGCAAGUAACAAAUAAAAUUCAAUAAGCAAAGAGGAAAUUGUGUUUGAUGCUUACAAAUACAAAGUGAAUUUAAAAAAAGACAAUUUUAUUUUCAGUACAGUACAUGUUUAUUCUUUUAGAAAUAAAGAGUUUAACCAA